AGCUCUUUAAGAAAUUAGAAUAUUCUGUGGCUGAUCGAUUUCCUUGUUUGGUGGCUGAGAUUUUGGUCUUAAUCUCAAAUUUGUGCUGCAUCAUGAACUAUUGAAUAGGUCUGUUUAAUAGCUUUCCAUAUUUCUUUCGCUGUGCUGAGAAACAUGCAUUUAUUACUGAUUUCUAGCAGCAUAGAGUUCCAUAACCAGGACAUUACCAUAGAGUCUUGUUCAUCCCAAGCAUCAAAUUUAGGAUCCUUUGGAUCUGGACCAGCACUGAGCAAAUGGCUCAGUUUCCCUUUUCCUUUCAAAAAAGUCCGAACCAAUUGAGACCACUUGAGAUAAUUUUUCCCAUUCAACCUAUAUGCUGCCUGAAUAUUCUGCAGUUCUCCUGUUGAUGCAGAAUUGUUGUUGCUGAUCAAAGGAGCUGCAGAGGUGUUACUGGUUUCUGUGACUUCUGACAUAGUUGAUAGGCUGAAGAAAUCAGAAGUUAUACAGAGGGAAAAAGAGUUUCACAGACUCUGUUUUGUAAUCAACAGGCUCUGUUUAGCAAAGAAAAAACAAAGAUUCACAAACUCUGUUUUGGAACAAAAAAAAAAAAGGGAUCAACUGGCAAUGAAGACCACUGAGGGCAAUGAAGAUCACUGACAAUGAAUCCAAAAAAAAAAUGCUUAAGGUUCUGAUACCAUGACAGAAAUUGAACUCUUUCUGUGUAUAUUGAAUUGAAUUAAAAGAAACAUGGUACAUUGGUAUAUAUACAGCAAACAGAAUUCUAUCCUAGGUAACUUCCUAAUUCUAUUCUAGUUGACUUCCUGACAAAUCAAUAGAAAUUAAUACUGAUUAAAACAAAUAAAAAUCUAAUCCCUAAAAAUUAGAUAUUACAUAGCUGUACAAAUAGAUCCCUAAAAAUUAGGGAUUACAUUAGCUGUACACAUUGCUGUACAGUAUUUUCCGACAGUACCAUCUCCUUCCUGUGUUGUUUUCUUGCCCAAAGAUUUGAAGAAUUCCAACAGCUAUCAUGACUAAUCAUUAAAUGCAGGAUUCUACUCGAGUGUGGGAUUCCUGCAUUCUCUGAACACAAAUAUUUGUCUCCUGCAUUUCAACUUUAUCAUGUCAGUUAGGAUCACCCAUCUUGUUCAGCUCUGGUACCAAGUUGAUAAGGGCUCUUGUGUAGGAUCGAGUUAAUGGACGGUGAACGGGGUAAUCCUCCUCAGAUUGUGAAGAUGGUCCCUUGUUGAUGUUCUUGCCUUUCAUUGAACCCAUUGCGAUUGAAAAGAGAGCUCAUUUGAGGGACCUCAUUUCUUCUAGAUAAUUUGUAAAUAAUUAUGCUUGGUUUUAUUGAUGAAAUUGUUCUCUUUAAAUAGAUAUUACAUAACAGCAUUUUCCAAGAUAGGAACCCGUAAUCAAUGAUUUUUAAUUGAAAUUAAAGACCUCUAAAAAUAAGCACCUUAUUCAGGAAACUAUUGAAAAAUUAUCUGCUGCCAUCUUUGUUGCCGAUGCCUUUCUCAUUCAAUGCCUCACAUAUCGUGUAUGCCUUUCCUAUGAAAGCAUCUGUAACAUUAUGCUGACUUGAAUGAAGAGGAAGAUAAAACUCCAACAUAAAUAGAGCAUGGAGGAGAGUCUGCAAGACUACAACAUAUUCAAGAUGCAUUUUACCAAAUUUCAUUUAGAAAAUGAAAUUAAAGUACAAAGUAACUAUUGUGGUCAAAUAUUCAAAUUCAAAGAGGAUGGCGGGUAGAGUGGCAUUUGCAAAACAAGAGGAUACUGGGGCAUCUUAAUUAUUAACAAUUAAGAUCAAGCCUGAUUAAUUUUUUUCCCAAAAUUUUCAUUUGCAAUUGCACAAAAAAAGUUAUUUUUUAAAAUUUACUCAUUAUAUUUUUUUCCCUUUCAUUUCCAC
rnacentral:misc_RNA from 1 species